UACGUAGGUGGCAAGCGUUGUCCGGAUUUACUGGGCGUAAAGAGCGUGUAGGCGGCCCGAUAAGUCCGCUGUGAAAGUCCAGGGCUCAACCCUGGAAUGCCAGUGGAAACUGUCGGGCUGGAGUCCGGAAGAGGCGAGUGGAAUUCCUGGUGUAGCGGUGAAAUGCGCAGAUAUCAGGAGGAACACCAAUGGCGAAGGCAGCUCGCUGGGACGGUACUGACGCUGAGACGCGAAAGCGUGGGGAGCAAACAGG
rnacentral:rRNA from 1 species